GGUUGGAUGGCCGAGUGGUCUAAGGCGCUAGAAUCAGGUGUUGCUCAUCUAGUCCGCAAGGGCGUGGGUUCGAAUCCCACUCCAAUCA